GAUGAACGCUAGCGGCAGGCCUAAUACAUGCAAGUCGAACGGUGUCUUCGGACAUAGUGGCGCACGGGUGCGUAACACGUAUGCAACCUACCUUACAUUGGGGGAUAGCCUUUCGAAAGGGAGAUUAAUACCGCAUAAGACAGUAGCUGGGCAUCCAGCAGCUGUUAAAGAUUUAUCGAUGUAAGCUGGGCAUGCGUCCAAUUAGGUAGUUGGUGAGGUAACGGCUCACCAAGGCAAUGAUUGGUAGGGGAACUGAGAGGUCAAUCCCCCACACUGGCACUGAGAUACGGGCCAGACCCCUACGGGAGGCAGCAGUAGGGAGUAUUGGGCAAUGGACGCAAGUCUGACCCAGCCAUGCCGCGUGCAGGAUGAGGGCGUUAUGCGUUGUAAACUGCUUUUAUACAGGAAGAAACGACUCUUGCGAGAGGCAUUGACGGUACUGUAUGAAUAAGCACCGGCUAACUCCGUGCCAGCCGCCGCCGUAAUAC
rnacentral:rRNA from 1 species